UGCCCCUUAGAGGACAUAUUGGAACGAUACAUAGAAGAUUAGCAUGAACGAACCCUGCGCAAGGAUGACACGCAUAAAUCAAGAAAGGUCCGAUAGAUAA